rnacentral:rRNA from 1 species
AGAGUGAACGCUGGCGGUAGGCCUAACACAUGCAAGUCGAACGGCAGCACAGUAGGAGCUUGCUCUUACGGGUGGCGAGUGGCGGACGGGUGAGGAAUACAUCGGAAUCUACCUUUUGGUGGGGGAUAACGUAGGGAAACUUACGCUAAUACCGCAUACGCCCUUCGGGGGAAAGCCGGGGACCAGCAAUGGCCUGGCGCUGAUAGAUGAGCCGAUGUCGGAUUAGCUAGUUGGUGAGGUAAUGGCUCACCAAGGCGACGAUCCGUAGCUGGUCUGAGAGGAUGAUCAGCCANACUGGAACUGAGACACGGUCCAGACUCCUACGGGAGCAGCAGUGGGGGAAUAGUUGGACAAGUGGGCG